rnacentral:snoRNA from 1 species
GAGUGACGAUGAAGCAAAUGAUAUUAAACUACAUAAUUCAUUUGAUGAACAAAAACAUCGAGCUUUUUAAUACUGAAACACU